GAUGAAGAACGCAGCGAAAUGCGAUAAGUAAUGUGAAUUGCAGAAUUCAGUGAAUCAUCGAAUCUUUGAACGCACAUUGCGCCCCUUGGUAUUCCGAGGGGCAUGCCUGUUCGAGCGUCAUUAUAACCCCUCAAGCUCAGCUUGGUGUUGGGGCCUGCUGCACUGGCAGCCCUUAAAAUCAGUGGCGGCGCCAUCUGGCUCUAAGCGUAGUAAUUCUUCUCGCUAUGGAGUCCUGGUGGAUGCUUGCCAUCAACCCCCAAUUUUUCUAUGGUUGACCUCGGAUCAGGUAGGGAUACCCGCUGAACUUAAGCAUAUCAAUAAGCGGAAGGA
rnacentral:misc_RNA from 1 species